GGGCCCUUUAGGGUCAGCAGUCAUGGUUUCUUUUGAAACCCAAAUCUUUUUAAUUAUUUUUUUACUAAAUUUUUUUGUAUUACAAACAUGAGCCUUAUGUCCUACUCUACCACAGCUAAAGCAAGAGAUGUGUGAGGUGCUGCCAAUAGAUGGUGACGCAGUGAAGAAAUUUUUAAAAAAAAAUAUUUAUUGUUUGGUUUAUAACCUUGAUCAGCUCUAUCAUAUACUCUUUUUUGAUUAUUUAGUAUCAUUUAUAAUUUUUCAGAGCUACAUAUGAAUUUUUCAACCAAUGAUUUUAGUCUAUCUACUUCUUUCUUUAAGGUCUCAUUUUC
rnacentral:lncRNA from 1 species